GAUGAACGCUGGCGGCGUGCCUAAUACAUGCAAGUCGAGCGAACAGACGAGGAGCUUGCUCCUCUGACGUUAGCGGCGGACGGGUGAGUAACACGUGGAUAACCUACCUAUAAGACUGGGAUAACUUCGGGAAACCGGAGCUAAUACCGGAUAAUAUAUUGAACCGCAUGGUUCAAUAGUGAAAGACGGUUUUGCUGUCACUUAUAGAUGGAUCCGCGCCGCAUUAGCUAGUUGGUAAGGUAACGGCUUACCAAGGCGACGAUGCGUAGCCGACCUGAGAGGGGGGACCGGCACAAUGGAAACGGAAAAACGGCCCGACUCCCAAGGGGGGCAGGAGUGGGGAAACUUGCCCAAUGGGGGGAAACCCGGACGGGCCAACCCCGGGGGGGUGAGAAAGGUUUUCGGAUCGAAAAACCUUGUUUUUGGGAAAAAAAAAAUGUGAAAAAAACAAUGCCGGUUUGGAGGGAACCAAAGAAAAAACCCGCGGCAAACUAGUG
rnacentral:rRNA from 1 species